rnacentral:rRNA from 1 species
CAGUAGCCACGGGAAUACGAAGGGUGCAAGCGUUACUCGGAAUUACUGGGCGUAAAGCGUGCGUAGGUGGUGGUUUAAGUCCGUUGUGAAAGCCCUGGGCUCAACCUGGGAAUUGCAGAGGAUACUGGGUCACUAGAGUGUGGUAGAGGAUAGUGGAAUUUCCGGUGUAGCAGUGAAAUGCGUAGAGAUCGGAAGGAACAUCUGUGGCGAAGGCGACUAUCUGGGCCAACACUGACACUGAGGCACGAAAGCGUGGGGAGCAAACAGGAUUAGAUACCCGUGUAGUCCCUGUCUCUUAUAA